rnacentral:rRNA from 1 species
GACGAACGCUGGCGGCGUGCUUAACACAUGCAAGUCGAACGGGAUUUAGUAAACAGAAGCCUCGGUGGAAGAUUACUAAUGAGAGUGGCGAACGGGUGAGUAACGCGUGAGCAACCUGCCUAUGACAGUGGGAUAGCCUCGGGAAACCGGGAUUAAUACCGCAUAAAAUCGUAGAAACACAUGUUUUAACGGUCAAAGAUUUAUCGGUCAUAGAUGGGCUGGGGUCUGAUUAGCUAGUUGGUGAGAUAACAGCCCACCAAGGCGACGAUCAGUAGCCGGUCUGGGAGGAUGAACAGCCACAUUGGAACUGAGACACGGUCCAAACUCCUACGGGAGGCAGCAGUGGGGAAUAUUGCACAAUGGGGGAAACCCUGAUGCAGCGACGCCGCGUGAACGAAGAAGGUAUUCGUAUCGUAAAGUUCUGUCCUAUGGGAAGAUAAUGACAGUACCAUAGAAGAAAGCUCCGGCUAAAUACGUG